GAUGAACGCUAGCGACAGGCCUAACACAUGCAAGUCGAGGGGCAGCACAUGAAGUAGCAAUACGGAUGGUGGCGACCGGCGCACGGGUGAGUAACACGUAUGCAACCUGCCUGUAAGAGGGGAAUAACCCGGAGAAAUCCGGACUAAUACCGCAUAAGACUGCAAUUCUGCAUGGGAUAGCAGUUAAACAUUUAUGGCUUACAGAUGGGCAUGCGUAUGAUUAGCUAGUUGGUGAGGUAACGGCUCACCAAGGCAACGAUCAUUAGGGGUUCUGAGAGGAAGGUCCCCCACACUGGUACUGAGACACGGACCAGACUCCUACGGGUGGCA
rnacentral:rRNA from 1 species